GCCUGGGACAGCUCAGCUGAUCGAGCACGAGACUCUUAAUCACAGGGUUGUGGGUUCAAGCCCCAUGUCGGGCG